AUUGAACGCUGGCGGCAGGCCUAACACAUGCAAGUCGAACGGCAGCACAGAAGAGCUUGCUCUUUGGGUGGCGAGUGGCGGACGGGUGAGUAAUGUCUGGGAAACUGCCCGAUGGAGGGGGAUAACUACUGGAAACGGUAGCUAAUACCGCAUAACGUCGCAAGACCAAAGUGGGGGACCUUCGGGCCCCACACCAUCGGAUGUGCCCACAUGGGAUAAGCUAGUAGGUGGGGUAAUGGCUCACCUAGGCGACGAUCCCUAGCUGGUCUGAGAGGAUGACCAGCCACACUGGAACUGAGACACGGUCCAGACUCCUACGGGAGGCAGCAGUGGGGAAUAUUGCACAAUGGGCGCAAGCCUGAUGCAGCCAUGCCGCGUGUAUGAAGAAGGCCUUCGGGUUGUAAAGUACUUUCAGCGGGGAGGAAGGCGGUGAGGUUAAUAACCUUGCCGAUUGACGUUACCCGCAGAAGAAGCACCGGCUAACUCCGUGCCAGCAGCCGCCGUAA
rnacentral:rRNA from 1 species